UAGAUUAUUUUUUCUCCACCGAUAAUCACUAAUCUCUUUUGUUAAUUUUCUUUGCUUUUUCUUCAUCUCAACGACGUGUUUAAGAAUUUAAGUUAUUUGCUUAUUAAUCUCUAGGAAUUCUUACGAACUAAGAUUUAAGAUUAAAAUUAAAAAUUAUUCAAUCAUUGGAUAUUUAUUUUCGACUUCUGUCUAUUGCUAUAUAGUGCUACCUGAAAUUGUUUAGUGGCAACUCUCAUCCGUUUAAUUUAGGUUCAUAGAUUAGAAAGAGCACAUGAUAUCAAAACCAUCAAUUUCUAAUUUUAAAUUCACACGUUUGGGGUUUUUUUUCAUAUAUAUUAACUUUUAUAUGUAUGUAUGUAUGUAUGUAUGUACUGAUUAUGGAAAACUUGUUCUCAUGAAAAAAAAAUUAAGUUUUGUCGAGGACCGGAGGAAAAAAAUAAGGGAAAUUAUCAUUACACCACCCUAUUUUUGGCUUUAUGUUCAUCAAACCAUCACAAAAUUCUAACAUGUUCUCUGCAUCACAUUUCUUUUUAAAUUUGUAUCAAUUAGCCACUUUUGCACUAACACCGUUAAAUAAUUUAAGUGAAAUGAUAAUUUUA
rnacentral:lncRNA from 1 species